ensembl:rRNA 5S_rRNA 5S ribosomal RNA
AGCAGUAGCCAUAUCACCCUGUAGCCCAAGACUGGUUGCCAACUGAAUCUAAGCAGGGUUGAGCCUGGUCAGUACAUGGAUUGCAGACCUGCUGGGAAAACUAUAGGUUGCUGAUGGAA